GAGCUCAAAUGAAGCAAGAUUACCCGCUGAACUUAAGCAUAUUAUUAAGCGGAGGAAAAGAAACUAACAAGGAUGCCCUCAGUAACGGCGAGUGAAGCGGGCAAAGCUCACUGAAAAUCGGAUCUCCAAGCGGGGUUUCGAAUUGUGGGCUACAUGAGACGUGAUCAGCGAGUUACCCUGGUAUAAGUGAGUCUUAUUGGAAUACUACAUCAUAGAGGGUGAAAAUCCCGUCUGUGACCAGGAGUUAGCCGCGUACGAUCCGCCUUCUUAGAGUCGCGUUGUUUGGGAUUGCAGCGCUAAAUGGGAGGUAAAUUUCUUCUAAAGCUAAAUAUCGACGAGAGACCGAUAGCGAACAAGUACCGUGAGGGAAAGAUGAAAAGAACUUUGAAAAGAGAGUUAAAAAGUACUUGAAAUUGCUAAGAAGGAAGCACUGGAAACCAG
rnacentral:rRNA from 1 species